rnacentral:rRNA from 1 species
UACAGAGGGUGCAAGCGUUGUUCGGAAUUAUUGGGCGUAAAGGGCGCGUAGGCGGUGCGGUAAGUCUGUAGUGAAAUCUCUGGGCUCAACUCAGAGUCUGCUAUAGAAACUGCCGUGCUGGAGUGUGGGAGAGGUGAGUGGAAUUCCCGGUGUAGCGGUGAAAUGCGUAGAUAUCAGGAGGAACACCUGCGGUGUAGACAGCUUUCUGGACCAUCACUGACGCUGAGACACGAAAGCGUGGGUAGCAAACAGG